UAGUAAUCGUGGGUCAGCAUACUACGGUGAAUACGUUCCCGGGCCUUGUACACACCGCCCGUCAAACCAUGAGAGUUGGCAACACCCGAAGUCGGUGACCCAACCGUAAGGAGGGAGCUGCCGAAGGUGGGGUUGAUAACUGGGGUGAAGUCGUAACAAGGUACC
rnacentral:rRNA from 1 species